UGGCACCCAGAGUGGGGCACCUGGCACAGAGGAUCCAACAAGGGAGCCAUCUGGGGAUGCGCGCGUAAAAAGGAAACUAAGAGUUUUGUGACCAAUGCUACGUGGGAGCCUGCCAUGCCGCUCAAGUCACGGUAAGUGGACAGCGAUCCUUUCCCCUUUUUUUCUGGCAUGGGUCAAGCAUUAAGUGAUCACAAACUUUUCGUGGGAGGUCUAAGUAAGGCAUUAAAGACAAGAGGGAUUAAGGCUAAAAAAAAGAUUUAUUACAAUAUUUUCAAUUUAUUCAUAAGGUUUGCCCUU
rfam:Cavia porcellus supercont2_39 genomic scaffold, whole genome shotgun sequence.